CUGUCUGCAACCACAUUUCAACCACUUUGGUGACCGCUAGUCAGUUUGGUCAGAAACACCUAGAUUCCAGUUACAGAGAAUGAGCGGGUCGCUUCCGAGAAGAGAGUGGAGGUUUCAUAGUCACGUGACCUGGGAAAUGGUAGAAAGGAGUCUUUCUGGAAGCGUGUUCUCAGGAGUGGUGCCCGAUUAACUGUGAACCUGCUUAGUGUCACAUGAUGUGGGAAGUGACUAUCGUGACAGAUGAGGGGGCCUCUCUGUCAGUUCCGCACGCCCAGGCUCUCUGUGUAUGUCUGCCCCCACCCAGUUCACCUGCAGCUUCUCCCGCCUGUGUUCCUCGCACAGGUGAGUGGCCAGCCUGCCCUGAACUGCGUCUGGACGGAGAACCGCAUGCGCAAGCAGGGUCCUGAUGGUAAACUCGGCUCCCCUCGUGCACAUCUGCACCGCGCAUGCGUUUGUGGCUGUGAUCCAAGACGUAACGGGCCCGUAUGGCAGAUGGGGCCGCCGUGCAUCCCCGGAGAGCUGGGAAAUGGCGUGACGAGCAUCACAAUCUGUGCUUAAUGUGUUUAAAUGUCGGAGCGAGUGUCGAAUUCAUCAGGUGAACAUUUGUGAAAAGGGGGGUAGUUCACUGUGAGCGAGGGGAGCUUUGGAUAAAUGCAGGUUUAUGUCGUUAAGUUGUACUGCUCUGUUGUGUUAGAUGGCUGAACGUGUGAUGUUUCUGCUCGCCCGCUCUGUCGCUGCUGGUAGGAGUCUUGUCUCCACCUUAGAAAGAAAGAUGACAGGCGUAAAGUAAUGUCCCCCAGCUCUGACUGACUGGGCCGGCGGGUUUUUCCGGUCGUGCCGAACGGACGGCCUAAUUUGAUGGAUCAGGUGACAGAACUCGGAGGCGCCAGUCAUGCCCGCACAGCAGAGGAGAGCUCCAGAUGACUUUGAAAGAUGAAAAUGGAACACGGCGUGCCCUGCUGACCUGGAAUGGAGGUGCUAAGGGUCUGCUGCGUAACAGGAAGAGGACUCGAAGCUGGAGAAGUGGUGACGUGCAGCACCGUCGUCUUGACGGGAGGAGGUGACGAGCGGCACGGAUCUGCUGGCUGAUGGAACGCAGGGGAGAAUGACCAGCCAUCAACCGUGCCCACAGCCGGUCCGAAACGUCUUCUCGCCCUCCAUCGACUUCCGUGACCGGCAGGCUGUGGUGCGCAAAGUCCAGGACCUUGGCUUUGAAGGUGGGAGAAUUUUCUUCUUUCAAGACUUCAGC